rnacentral:lncRNA from 1 species
CUCUGAUUGCUGGGGCGAGGACUUCCAAAACUAUGUUGAAGAGUAAUGGCGAGAGCAGACAUCCUUGUCUUGUUCCUGAUCUCAGCAGGAAUUCUUUCAGCUUUUCACCAUUGAGAAUGAUGUUGGAGGUGGUUUUGUCAUAUAUGGCCUUUGUUACAUUGAGGUAGAUGCCCUCUAUGCCCGCUUUCUGAAAGGUUUUUAUCAGAAAUGGGUGUUGGAUUUUGUCAAAGGCUUUUUUCUGCAUCUAUUGAGAGGAUCAUAUGGUUUUUAUUCUUCCGUUUGUUAAUGUGGUGUCUCACACUGGUGGAUUUGUGGAUAUUGAAGGAUCUUUGCAUCCCUGGGAUAAAUCCCACUUGAUCAUGAUGUCCAAUCCUUUUCAUGUAUUGUUGGAUGUGGUUUGCUAGUAUUUUGCUGAGGAUAUUCGCAUUGAUGUUCAUCAGUGAAAUCGGCCUGUAGUUUUCUUUUUUUGUGGUAUCUUUGUGUGGUUUUGGUAUCAGGGUGAUGGUGGCCUCAUAGAAUGAAUUUGGGAGUAUCCCUUCCUCUGCAAUUUUUUGAAAUAGUUUCAGAAGGAUAGGUGUUAGCUCUUCUCUAAAUGUUUGAUAGAAUUCGCCUGUGAAGCCAUCUGGUCCUGGACUUUUGUUUGUUGGAAGUUUUUUAAUCACAGUUUCAAUUUCAGUUCUUGUGAUGGGUCCAUUCAUCUUUUCUAUUUCAUCUUGGUUUAGUCUUGGAAGAUUGUACUUUUCUAAGAAUUUGUCCAUUUCUUCUAGGUUUUCCAUUUUAUUGGCAUAUAGUUGCAUAUAGUAGUCUCUUAUGAUCCUUUGUAUUUCUGUGAUGUCCGUUGUUACUUCUCCUUUUUCAUUUCUAAUUUUAUUGAUUUGAGUCCUCUCUCUUUUUUGCUUGAUAAGUCUGGCUAGGGGUUUAUCAAUUUUGUUGAUCUUUUCAAAGAACCAGCUUUUCGUUUCAUUGAUCUUUUCUAUGGUUUUCUUUGUUUCUAUUUCAUUGAUUUCUGCUCUGAUCUUUAUGAUUUCUUUCCUUCUACUAACUUUAGGUCUUGUCUGUUCUUCUCUCUCGAGCUGCUUUAGAUGUAAAGUUAGCUUGUUUAUUUGAGCUUUUUCUUGUUUCCUGAGGUGGGCUUGUAUUGCUAUAAACUUUCCUCUUAGAACGGCUUUUGCUGCAUCCCAUAGGUUUUGGAGUGUCGUAUCUUCGUUGUCAUUUGCUGCUAGGUAUUUUUUAAUUUCCUCUUUGAUUUCUUCAGUGAUCCAUUGGUUGUUUAGUAGCAUGUUGUUGAGUCUCCACGUGUUUGUGUUUUUUGCAGUUUUUUUCUUGUUGUUGAUUUCCAGUCGUAUAGCGUUGUGGUCGGAAAAGAUGCUUGAUAUGAUUUCAAUUUUCUUAAAGUUACUGAGGUUGGAUUUGUAGCCCAGGAUAUGAUCAAUCUUAGAGAAUGUUCCAUGUGCACUUGAGAAGAAUGUGUAUUCUGUUGCUUUUGGAUGGAAUGUCCUAUAAAUAUCUAUUAAGUCCAUCUGGUUUAAUGCUUCAUUCAGGGCCUGUGUUUCCUUAUUGAUUUUCUGUCUGGUUGAUCUGUCCAUUGCUGUAAGUGGGGUGUUAAAGUCCCCCACUAUGAUUGUGUUAUUGUCGAUUUCUCCUUUUAAGGUUGUUAGCAGUUGCCUUAUAUAUUGUGGUGAACCUGUGUUGGGUGCGUAGAUAUUUAAAAUUGUUAUAUCAUCUUCUUGGAUUGAUCCUUUGAUCAUUAUGUAAUGUCCUUCUUUGUCCCUUAAAAUAUUCUUCAUUUUAAAGUCUAUUUUGUCUGAUAUGAGUAUUGCUACUCCAGCUUUCUUUUGAUCCCCGUUUGCAUGAAAUAUUUUCUUCCAUCCUCUCACUUUCAAUUUGUAUGUGUCCCUAGAAGUGAAGUGGGUCUCUUGAAGACAGCAUAUAUAUGGGUCUUGUUUUUGUAUCCAUUCAGCCAGUCUAUGUCUUUUGGUUGGGGCGUUUAGUCCAUUCACAUUUAAGGUAAUUAUUGAUAUGUAUGUUCUUAUUGCCAUUUUAUUAAUUACUUUGGAUUUGUUUUUGCUGCUCUUUUUCCUUUCCUUCUUCUCUUGUUCUUUUCUGCCUAUAGAAGUUCCUUUAGUAUUUGUUAGAUUCCUUGUUUGUGUAUCAAUUGUAGAUUUUUGGUUUGCAGUUAUUCUGAAGUUUUGAUGUAAGAGUCUAUAUGUAUAUGAGAUUGUUUUAAGUUGUUGUUCUCUUAAUUGCAAGUUCAUCUCCAGUGUCCCGCAUUUAUACCCACCUCUUCUCAUGAUUUCUGAUUUUGAUGGUAUAAUUGUGCAUGGUUGAUUUCGUAUCUUUACUGUAUAUAUACCUUUACUGGUGAGCCUUGUCAUUUGUGGAAUUUUUGUUUCCUGUUGCUGAUCUUUUCUUUCCUGCCUAGAGAAGUUCCUUCAGUAUUUGUUGUAAGGCUGGUUUAGUGUUGCUGAAUUCUCUCAGCUUUUGCUUAUCUGAGAAGGUUUUUAUUUCUCCUUCAAAUCUGAAUGAGAGCCUUGCUGGGUAGAGUCAUCUUGGUUGGAGGUUUUCUUCCUUUCAUCACGUUAAGUAUA